GUAGUCAUAUGCUUGUCUCAAAGAUUAAGCCAUGCAUGUCUAAGUAUAAGCAAUUAUACCGUGAAACUGCGAAUGGCUCAUUAAAUCAGUUAUCGUUUAUUUGAUAGUACCUUACUACUUGGAUAACCGUGGUAAUUCUAGAGCUAAUACAUGCUGAAAACCCCAACUUCGGAAGGGGUGUAUUUAUUAGAUAAAAAACCAAUGCCCUUCGGGGCUCCUUGGUGAUUCAUAAUAACUUCUCAGAUCGCAUGGCCUUGCGCCGGCGACGGUUCAUUCAAAUUUCUGCCCUAUCAACUUUCGAUGGUAAGGUAUUGGCUUACCAUGGUUUCAACGGGUAACGGGGAAUUAGGGUUCGAUUCCGGAGAGGGAGCCUGAGAAACGGCUACCACAUCCAAGGAAGGCAGCAGGCGCGCAAAUUACCCAAUCCCGACACGGGGAGGUAGUGACAAUAAAUACUGAUACAGGGCUCUUUUGGGUCUUGUAAUUGGAAUGAGUACAAUUUAAGCCUCUUAACGAGGAACAAUUGGGGGGCAAGUCUGGUGCCAGCAGCC
rnacentral:rRNA from 1 species